rnacentral:lncRNA from 1 species
UAUAUAUACACACGCUCAGUCACUCACACAUACAUUUUUGCUAAUAUUCAGCUGACAAGAAAAGCCAUUGGCACCAACCUACACAAAUAGCGAAAAGUAGAGUUUUAAUUAAUCAAAGCAUAAAAGUGGGUUAAUACGGAAGGAAAGAAGAAACCAAAGUUUAACAAAAGACAAGACUGAUACAAGCCCCAUACAUUAAUUCUUGAGUAUUAUUGUCUUGCCGUGAUAAACCCAAACGAUUAAUUCUUAAAUAAUGUUUCACGGGGUUCACACACCUUACUUAGCGUGAUGGCUUCCACUAAGCAUCAAUCGCUUUAGCAAAAGGGAUAGAGAGUGAACAUUGUGCACGUCCCUAAGAGUGCGGGGGGCCUUUAACAAGUGUAUGGUGUCCCACUGUCCCCGAGUUACCAGGGUUCUAGGACCCCAAUUCCUAAUAUAAUAGCAAGACCAAAGGGGGACUGUCCUUUUGUUCCCAUAUCCCCAGUUGGCAUGCCAAGAAACACCGGGAAAGACUGAUCUUUUCAGGCUUCAUCCAGAUAUGCCUAUCUGGGAACGGUGUGAAGUAUAACCCCUCGUUGAAGUUCAACCGUUCUAAAAAUCACAUCAAAAACAAGAGCAAAGGAGUUACGUUUAGUUUGAGAAUAGAGCUAAAAUCUCAACACAAGAAGAAGAGAACUCUUUGAAGCCCGAUUACUUAUAAACCAUCCAAAGCCCACCAGAGAAAACAAAGAGAAAAUAUGGAAAGAACAACAAUUCCGUUUAACAAAAAAAAAAAAGGGGGAAAAAUUAAAACAAACUGAUGGUGGGAGAAAUUCUCCACCUACUUAAGGCAAGUACGUCGCAACAACCCUAGCACACCACAGAACGGGUCGCCCAUUAUCUUCCCGAAGAUUGCUCAUCUCCCGAAAUCCUCUUGACCGAGGUAAAACGAGUCCCAACGUUCAGCAUGGAACCGCGCCAAGUUUAUCUCCACUGAUGGUCGCCCGGAGCCAAAGUGUUGUCUCCCUCCUCGCCCCUUGGGCGAGGUAAAUACUUGGCUUGAUCAAUCUCCACAGAUUGUCCUAUCUUACACCCUUCGGAGAUUUUAUCCUCGAUGACACCGACAAUUACGGGAUACUCCUCCAGAGGCAAUCCUCUCAAUUAUGUCUCCUAUAUCUCCGGAUAUCUUUUCAUAUUUAUCUUCCGAGAAUCUCGCCGUGAUCCAUGGACACGGCCCAUUACUCCGUCUAUACAAAUCCUCCCCCUUAUACAAGGUAACACAAAACAUCUCCUAUAACUCUCCUCUAGCACUUUUACCUCCUGUUCAUCGCCCUUGGUCGGAUCUCCCCUAAGGGGUUUUGAGCGCCUCGCCCCGGCCUUUUAGCUCUGUUCGUCUAUGCAGGUCGGCCCUUAAAAGUAUCCGGGCCCGGAUUACCGAGGAAGACCGGAGCACUAUGACUGUUUUGUUGCUCUCCCCAGUUUUUUACCACAACAGUUUUGGCGCCGUCUGUGGGAACGACAAUUCUAUAAUCUUCUAUGCACCUGCGCAUCCGCAACUUACCCUGACCAAGUGCCAGUAGCCCCCUGGUCACAGAUCCCAUCCUAUGGCCAAUCCAUCCAGUUCAAGAUCUGAAAAGCCUCCACCGCGAAAUACACACUGGCCUGAUCAAAUAAGGAUCAUGAACGAGAUAAUGGCCGCCUAAUGCAACUCCUCACCGUGCCGAAUCCCCCACUUCCGGCAGCACCACCGCCCUAAUAUCGAUCGAUCUCGCCACUCUAUCCGUUCGAGAGAUCGUUCCCAGAGCCCCCCCCACCAUCAGUACCGAACGGUGAGGGGUAGGCACCGAACACCGAGUCGUCAUUACGCGAAAAGAGUUCCUCUUCAGAAUCUAGUCACACUCGAGCCAGGGUAAGAAGGGGAAUAGUCCUCACAGAGGCCGAUCAAUCGAGGCACGAACAGUUCACCUCGCAGAAGAUUCGAGAUUUGACGCACGGCUCGACGCCAUUCACACUGGAACAAAGCCCAAUACUGUGGGCCACUUUGAUUAGACAAACGGAUCCGCAUUCACGAAAGGAUUUUGAGAGCUCGGAUCUCUUCGAAGUCAAGCUACCUACCCGCUCGGCAUUUAUGAAGGAAAGACAGAUCCACUGACCACCGGACUCGUUACAAAGCCUAUUGUCGCUCCAGGGUUUGCUCGGAUGAAUGUCAUGUGCAAAGCGUUCUCCGCCACUUUGAAAGACCGGUCGGUCGUGUUUCGAAAUUGGUCGCCUGGAACAAUAGACUCUUGGCGAUCUCAAGUCAUUCUUUGUCGCUAAUUUCAUGAGCUGUAAAUCGACAAAGAAUGCUUUCCUCACCUGUUCACCGGUCACCAAAAAGAAAUCGAGAGCUUGAAAUUUCGUGAACGGUUCAAUUAGGCUGUUGGAAGUUGAGAGCCCAACGACAAAGUGAUAAUCAUGGCAUGAUUAGGACUCCGACCUGGUCCGCUGUUCGCUCCCUUUCUAAAAACGUUCCUAAAACUUUAUCCGCCCUCCAGAGCAAAGCCGACAAGUAUAUCGCCGUAGAGGAGUUUGCCGAGGCCAACAAGGCGAUGAGGAAAAGAUGAUCAUACGAGGAAAGGCCGACACGAGGCGGGCUGAUUAGAGGGAGGAAACGAGGUACAAGAACCUGACCGAGAUCCUAAACGAUCUAGCGAUAGGCUUCCUCAUACUCCACCUCGCGCCCGAGUUUUUAUUUUAACCGCAUCAACGCCCCUGUUGCCCAAGUACUCUCAGAAAUUAAGCCACGAAGAAUUCGUCAAAUGGCCCGGAGAUCAAGACUGACCCCCAUACGAGAAACAUAAACAAAUAUUUGAAUUCCACCUGGACCUAGACACAAUACUGAGGACUGUUUUCAGGCUGAAAAGAACAAUGCCGAUCUCAUUAAACGGGGUUAUCGAGGAAUACGUCGCUACUCGCCCACCGCCCCGCUCCCCCAGAAAGAAGGUUCGGUGAUAAUAGACCACUGCGGGCGAUAUACAAAUGAUCCACGGAGGUUUCGGAUUGGGCGGUUAUUCGACUCAUCCAGGAAAGGGCAUGCCAGAAGUGCCCUUAGACCGGCCGAAGAAGAGAUUUACACUCUCUCCUCGCCAUAGUGUUGCCGACCAAACACCCAUCACCUUUAGCAAUGAUGGAUUGAGAGGAUUACACCUACCUACGAUGAUGCCUUGGUUGUCUGGCCGUCAUCGCCAAUUUUCAUAUCCAAAGGAUUUUAAUCGACAAUGGGAGCUCGGCGGACUCUUGUUUAUCUCGGCCAUUCGAAGACAUGAAAAUUGGCUGACAAGUUGUUUUUCACACUUUAUCAUACCCCCUGAUCGGAUGCGGAGGAAAUACGACGCACCCUUGGGAUGGAUCAAGUACCGACUUAACUCUACGGAAUUGACCCCCCCCACCAGACCACCGUUAUGGCAGGAUUUUAUUGGGUAGAUUGCCCUUCGCCUUAUAAUGCCAUCUUGGGGCGCCCAACUUUAGGGGAAUCAAGGCGAUCACCUCGACCUAUCACCUGAAGAUAUAAGUUUCCCACCCCAACAAGGAUGAGGCGAAAUAAGGGCGAUCAGAAUAGUGGCCACGGACAUGCGUCAUUCAGCCAUUAAGGUCAGACCUCUUCAAUUCCACCCACCCAAUAAGCAAUUACAGGAACAUGGGCGACGACACAGAGGUACUGAGAGAUGAGGUGGAACAACUUACCCUGGCAGACCACAAGAGAAACCAAUAAAACAAAGCCUCUUGAAGAAAUCGCCCUAUCUUCAUACAUUCUAGAAUAUCUGAUCGCCAUAUCAUGAUCGGCAAAGAAACUACGAUGAGUUUCGUUUCGCCUUAAUAAAACUUUUGAAAGGAAACUCUAACAUAUUUUCGCUGGUUCACAGCGGAGACGUUCCUGGCAUUGAUCCUGAAAUCGCCAUGCAUAAGCUGUUCACAAACCCGAAACACUUCUCAGUUUGACCAAAAAGCGAAAGAGUUCGCCCCUGAAUGCCUGAAUAGUACAUUGAAGACGAAGUACAAUAAGCUCAUCAGAGCUAACGUCGUCCAGUGAAGCCCUAUCAGGAACUGGCUCGCCAAUGUGUAGUCGCCUCCAAAAAGAGAAAAGUGGAGAGUAUGCAGUCGAGUUCACCGACCUCAACAAGGCUUGCCAAAAGGACAGUUUUCUUUGCCCAAAUCGCCGAAUAGUCGACGCCACCCUAAGUACGGCUCCUGAGUUUAUGGACGCCUUCUCGGGAUAUCACCAGAUCAAAAUGUACCUUCCUGACAUUGAGAAAACUUCUUUUAUCACAGAGGGGGGCUAUAUGUUACCAAGUCAUGCCAUUCGGAUUGAAAAACGCUGGGGAGACGUAUCAAAGGGUAUCAAUAAGAUGGUUCAAGGAACAAAUUAGGAAGACCAUGGAAGUGUACCAUAGCCGAUAUGCUGGUCAAAAGUCUCCGAUCAUCCGACCAUAUCGCCCAUCUUUAAGAAGCCAUUUAGCCAUCCUGCGUCGCCAUCGGAUGGAUGUUGAAUCCCUCCAAAUGCAUCUUUGGAGUGUAGUCGGGCAAUUUUAGAAUUUCUGGUCACCAAGCGUGGGAAUCGGGUAACCCCGGAUCAGAUCCAAGCCUUAACCGCGAUGAGUCGCCAGAAAUAUUUGAGAAAUACAGCAGUGACUGGGCGAGUAGCCGCCCUCAACAGAUUUGUUUCAAAUCUGCGGACAAAGUGGCCUCCCUUUCUUUUAGAAUCCUGAGAAAAGCCAGACCUUGCCAUGGAACGAGGAAUCUGCAAGAAUUCCAACAGUGAAAGGAGUAUUUGGGUCUCCGCAUUUCCUCACAGUCCCCACCCAGGGUGAAGAUCUUUAUGUUAUUAUCUCCAUCUCUGUCUACGUAGUGAGUGCUGUGCUCAUCGAAAGAAGAUCAGGUCCAAGACCAAUAUAUUACGUUAGGCAAGUCUUAAUGGGUGUAGAGGCCAGAAUCCGAGGACGAAAAAGCUGCCUAUGCUCUAAUGAUGCCGCAGAAAACUUCGUCAUUACUUUCAAGGCCCAUCCCAUCAUAGUAUUGACGGACUAGGCCCAUCAGGUCGACAAAUCCGUAAAUGGUCCAUCGAGCUAAGUGGAGUUCCACCUUGAGUACAAGCCGAGGGAUAGCAAUAAAAGCCAGGCCCUGGCUGAUUCAUUUGUCGAUCUACCCAUGAAGACACUCCACAACCAGAAACAGCUCCUCCCGAAAUAGAAAUCUAACCAACAAAUCUCCGAAAAAAGACCUCGCCACUGGGUAUUAUUCGUCGAUGGCUCUUCAACCAAACGGCUGUGGCUGCAUAUCGUUAUACAAACUUAUCAGGCGAGCAAAUGGAGUAGCCAUAAGAAUAGAAUUUAAAGCCAAUAAACAAUGAAGCCGAGUACGAAGUCUCCUCGCCGACUACGAAUAGCAGUAGAGUUAGGGGCACAUCUUUGGAAAUCUUCAGUGACUCACAACUGGUGGUUAAACCAGUCCAAGGGGACUACCUCGCAAAGGAGCGAGAAUGAUGGCUUAUUGGGCGAGGUAAGGAUGCCACUCCGAAAAGAUCAAGUAGUUAAAAUCCACCAAAUUUCCCGAGAAGUAAUAAAAGGGCAGACGCCUUAGCUAAUCUGGCAUCAAGUUUGAGUUUAUUUCAAACAGGUAAAUACCUUAUGGAAUUUCAGCUAGCCAAGCAUGGGGUCGCCAAUCAAACCUCCAACAGAAGAAAAAGUCUGACGUGGAUGGACGAGAUUAUUGAGAUAUCCCAGAGAGGGUCCAUCAAAAGAUAAGCCCAAAGCCGUCGUCUCCAGUAUAGAUCCGCACGAUUUUGCAUUUCAAAGGAAGACUCUACAAAAGGUCUUUUAUGGACCACUGUUAAAUGUCUCGACCAGAAAGAAGCAAAUACGUGUUAUAAGAAAUACACAAAGGCAUUGCGGGAAUCACUCCGAAGCAAGCUUCAAUUGGCGAGAAAAACUAUCCGCCAAGGGAUAUUUGGCGACCAUAGAACGAGAGGCGGAGAAGUAUAUAGGAGAUGCAACAAGUGUCAAAGGUUUGCCCCCGUCAGCGUAUCCCCCACACUAAGAUGGUACCGAUGUCAAGCCCUUGGCCAUUCGCCCAGUGGGGAGUAGACAUUAUUGGGCUCCUACCACGAGUCCCUUCAAGAAAAUUUGAUCGGCAGACAUAGGGAUAAUUUACUAAAUGGAUAGAAGCUCAAACUCUCGACCCAAAUACAGAGAAGAAUACCCGAGAUUUCGUAUGGAAGCACCUUGUUUGAAGGAUUCGGAAUCACUAAGGUUAUCAUAUUGGACAAGCAAGCAGUGCGACAACGACAAGUUUACAUUAUUCUGCUCGGGUCAUUGCCACUCCCAUCAUUUUCCUCGCCCGGCAUCCCAGGUAAUGGCAAGUGAAGUAACUCGUACAUCCUCAGGAAUUUGAAGGGAGGUUAGAGAGGUUGAAAGAGAAUUGGCGGGGAAAACUGCCGCAUAAUUUGGGCUUAUCAUCCUACUAGCUAGAUUCUUACGGGCGAAAACUACAUACCCAUGGUCUUCGGUACUAAAUCGGUCAUACCGGUCGAAAUAGGUGUGCCGAGCUUCAGGAUUUCAAUUUCGACAAAGCAUCAAUGAGGCCGAGCUCAAACUCAACCUGGAUCUCCUCGAGGAGAAAAUAGAAAAAGGCUGAACACGCCAAGCAUCUUACAAAUGCCAAGUAGCUGGCAAUACUACAAUCAAAGGGUCCAAACCCGAUCGUUCCUUCCUGGCGACCUGGUCUUGGCGGAGGGUAACCCGUCAACUAAAGAACCAAAUGCGGGGAAGCUCGGCCCAAGUUGGAAGGUCCUACAAAGUCGUCAAGGUCUACAGAUCGGGACUUACACUGGUUAGAAGACCUCAAACGGAAGCACUUUUAACCAAAUCCCUAGAAGCCGAGCAUUUGAAGAAAUACUAUCAAUAAAAUGACACCAUGAAACGCUCCACUCCCCAAUAAUUUUAUUACUUGGAUUUUAAUAAAUUGGAAAUUGUUCGAUCGCCUAGAUUUAUAUCUCGUCGUUUAUUACAAAAGGUUGAUGUCACCACAUCAAGAUCGCUAUAUAUCCAUUACGGAAUGACAUCUUGAUCGCCAUUAUUGAUUGUCGCUAAUAUUAAGGUCGUCAAUCCAUUCGGAAAUUACAUCUUGAUCGUCGCUAUUGAGUCGCAAUAUUGAGAUUGCAAUUCAAAUAAAAAAGACAGGAAAUCUUGAUCGCCAUUAUUGAAGUCACCAUAUUUUUUCAGUUAUUGAGAUUUCACAUUCACCCCAGACUCAUGAUCACCAUUAACACAACAUAUAACAAAAAACGGGAGGCCAGAUUUUUUUCAUUCAAAUGAAUAAAAUUAUCAUCUCAAAAAAAAAAAAAAAUUACACCGCGGGGCAUUAUCUUUAAUUACCCCCCCUCAUUCCUCGCCCAUUUCCUCCUUUUCAUUCUCCUCAUCGCCUCGUCUUGCUCAAAACCACAAAUCUGAUCGACCACAGGCCUUCAACACAGGUCGGGAUGAUGUCGACAGUUGCCCUUGCAGAGUUAAACCCCUCGCCAAAAGUAUUUGGAGGCGGAAUCUUCAACUACUGCCACCAUGAACUCCGACUAGACUAUGUAAACCCUCCAUUUCAAUUCCUGGCUUUAUUCAAAGCUUCCCUCAUCUCGUUUUUCACCACACUCCCGACCUCUCGAAUUUGUCGGACAAGCGAAUCUCGACUGCAUUCGUCUGGCAAGCUCAUUUUUGGCCCACUGCUGCUCAAGAGCACGGGACUCGCCAAUUGUUUUUCCAUUCGGCAGCAACCUUAAACAAAAUGAAGUCGAGCAAUCUCAUUUUCCCAUGGAAGCAGCUCGCCCCUCUUGAAGAGAUGCCUGCUCCUAGCCUCCCUACCUACGGCGGCCCCAGACGAACCGAGCACCACGCCUGCUAUAAGAAAGGAGAUAUUUUUUUAACACUCAGAGCAAAUGAAGUCCCCAUAGAAAAAUUGAAAAGGUUCCCAAAAUGUACCUGAUCGAUCACGUGGAAGAGCUUCGGUCCCGUUGAUUAUGUGAGCUUCUCCACCUCUCCUGUCGGGUGGGGGAAUCACCAACCCCCCGAGCAACUUCUCAUCUAACCUUCUUCCUCAUCCAACUGACCGGGCUCCCAAUAUAAAAGUCGUGGUCCCGGACAGUGCCUAGAUUAGCCGGGAACCUUCCCCAGGACAGGAGAUGCGGUGGCUGGAGUGGUCGGGGCCUUGCCUGACGAGGUCGCCUUCUUCUUCCCUUAGGCCCGAUUUCAACUCUCCUUUUGCCCUUCGAGCCGUCAUCGGCCUUUCCCCUUUUUGCCUGGGCGAUAGCUGGUGAUUGCUCUCCUUGGCCCGCUUCUUCUCGCCAAUUACGACUCCCUUUGUCGGACGGAUUCCCCGAGCUCGCACCCCCCGCCGCCCUUCCUGAGCUUCUUGCCAUCUUCUUAAAACUAACACUCUUCGACAUAGCUCACAACACAUACAUACGAAUCAGAUAAGAAAAGUAUCAUCGACUAGAAAAAAAAAGAGGACAAUACAUUCCGAUUCAGCUCGACGAGUAGGCUCGAAUCCGAAGAUUCUUACUCUGCAUUCGCUCUCGGGAGCUUCGAAAAAACGAUUAGUAUAGGAUCCAGAACCUUUCCCUCCCCCUUACCACCAUUAAAAGGGUCAGAUCGGGAUUGUGAGGUACCACCUCCUCAUGUUGUUCUGAUGGAUCCUAGACACUCAAUUGAAUGUCUCGGAAGGGCUUUCUUCGAGUUUGUUCAUGGGAAUUUUUGGGGGACUCACCCCACGUCGCUCGAGGAGCUCGGAACUUCUCCGCUCGGAAGAUUAUCGCCACCGUCCCGAUGCCCUAGAACUAGGGAGACAAAUUACUCGGCGAUACAAAUUUGAGUUCAACAGCAUGGGUACUGAAAAACGUCCCAGACUUCUAACGACCAAAAAAUCUCUCAAAAACUUUCUGUUCGUCGCCGUAAAGUCGAGUUGGAUUAUUGCAGUGCCUUUCUGCAAAGAAUAAUAAACAUUAGCCCACCCGAGCAUUCAAAAUUACAAAAACAGGGUGGAAAGAAAACAGCUAUCCGACCUGAAAUUCCCCACGUCCCGGCACUCUUGGGCGUCUCCCCGAGACGUUCCUUCGGAAUCUCCAUUCCUCGCUGGAGACGAAGAAGAACUUGCUCUUCCACCCUUAACAUUACUGGGGUAUCCUCCGACCGAACCUUCUUGUUCCUGCCUUGAAGUCUAGCCAGCCUUGAUCGGUUUAGGAUUACUCUUUAGACUAACAGUCUUAAACUCGGAACGGGGAUGUUGUAUUUGUAUAACCCGCCACAACGCCAUAGAGCAAGAAUACUUCUCCACGCGUUGUGAACGAAGCUGUGCCGGGCAGAAUUGUUAGAAUUGAAUAAUUAGCCUAAUGGUGGAGUGAAGGGAAAACGAGGCCAGCGGGGAACGCGGCCUCGUUAAAAAAGCACCUCGCUGACGGGUAGAAGUAAUGGUCUCCUCUUCGUCGGGGAAGCCUUAUCUGCACCCCGAAGGAAAAGAAUAGGAUCCCUAAGAGCGUUCAACUCCUCUAAGGUCCUGCUAUUAGGUUUUUCCUCAUUGAGGGCGAAUGGCGAUCAAAGUACUCUCCUCAGGUGGAACCUCCAUGGCGACGACGGCAGAUUGAUUACAUCGUUUUCAUCUUAUGGGGAAGCCUUCUCCAAAAUGUCGGAUAUCCAAAAGGUAACGAAUCUAGGUCGCCCGAAUCUAGUUACGGCGGAAUUACGGGACAUAAAUUACGGAGAACGAAACUAUAAGUCGGGAGAAGAGUACUACUGAAAGUUGAAAGAUGUUGUGCUCUUACCAGUGGGCGAGGAGGAAAUAGAUGCGAGAGCAAUAGCUGACAACAAUCGCAGAAACGUGCUAAUGGAGGGGGACCCCAUUAUAUUAUAAGUAAACACUGAGGGUCAGAUCAUUCAAUGCACUGCUUACUACCAGGCGCCUUUCUGUCUCCCGAGUUAAUCAUGCGUCUCCCGCCAACAAAGGU